rfam:Ciona savignyi cont_17355, whole genome shotgun sequence.
GGUCCUGUGGCCCAUUGGAUAAGGCGCCUGACUACGAAUCAGAAGAUUCCAGGUUCGAGUCCUGGCAGGAUCG